rnacentral:piRNA from 1 species
UUCAAGUAGUUCAGAGUAGGUAGCAUAGGA